AUAAGAUUCUGAAGUUGGUUUGAAAUGGGAAGGCUUACCGGGUCCAGACACAAUGAGGACUAAUCAAUUGAUAGUUCUUUGAUGCCUUUGUAUGCAGUCGUGCAUCACUGUACUUUGUUGAUGGAGUAAUUUGUCUGCUUUGUUGCGAUAAAAGCCCUUGGUAUUCCAGUCCCAAAGAGCACAAAACAACCUGAGAAGUUGACAUGGGCGCAGCUUGCUCUCAGUCGGCGUAGCAGAAGGCCCAAGUGAUCUUGUUAAACUCUGUCGUGCUGGGGAUGGAGCAUUGCAAUUGCUACUCUUCAAAAAGAAAGCCCUCAUAUUCGCAAGUUGUCAAUUUGCACUGAUAAUAUC
rnacentral:rRNA from 1 species